AGGUUCCCAGGUAGGUGCUUUGUGAUGCCACUAUGACCUGUGCUAUCUGGAUUUCGGAGGAUGACAUGGAAUAUUUUCUUCCCUUGAAAAGCACAUGUUAACUAUUAGACCAUGCCUACAAACUUCUUCACACAUCUAAACUUUAAUGAUUCCUAGAAGAACCUCACUGUAUAAAAUGAGGAUAUGACUGCUCCAAGGAACAAGAAUCUGGAGUCUCUCCUCCUUCCCCUAUCACCCAGGGCAGACAAGGGUCCCUAGCUCACCCUGGCCUGACCUCCAGCUCCAUCUGCAAGUGGCUGUCCCACCCCUCACAAGCAGCAUCAGUGAUAUGUGCUGAGAAACAAGUUUCCAUUUCUUCCACUGAAGCUGCGCUGGGAUUCUUUGGAGUGGAAGUAUGAGAUAGGAGCUAAUGCAGCCAUUCUACUACUAGAGAGAGCGGCAGGAAGUUCACAUGCUCCUUGGUGGCGCCUCUUCAUGAAGGACUGCUGUUACCCACUAUAAUCUCUCCUCCCAGGUCACAGUCCGGCAUCCUGGGAAGCCAAAGCAGGAACUCAAGGUAAGGACCAGGCAGCAGGAACUGAAGCAGAGACCAUGGAGGUUUGCUCAGCCUACUUUCUUAUAUAGCCCAGGCAGGCCCAUUUGCCUAGCAGUGGCACACAAUGAGCUCAACCCUCCUACAUCAAUUAGCAAUUAAGAAAAUGUACCAUGGACAAUCUCACAGGCCAAUUUCAUAGAGGUAAUUUCUCAAUUGAGGUUCCCUCUUCC